rnacentral:tRNA from 1 species
GCGGUCAUGGCGGAAUUGGUAGACGCGCUAGAUUCAGGUUCUAGUCGGGGUUUUCCUGGUGGAUGUUCGAUUCAUCUUGACCGCA